GUGCCAGCCGCCACGGUAAUACCGGCAGCCCAAGUGAUGGCCGCUGUUAUUGGGCCUAAAGCGUCCGUAGCUGGCUGCGCAAGUCCGUCGGGAAAUCCACUCGCCCAACGAGUGGGCGUCCGACGGAAACUGCACAGCUUGGGACCGGAAGGCUCGAAGGGUACGUCCGGGGUAGGAGUGAAAUCCCGUAAUCCCGGACGGACUACCGAUGGCGAAAGCACUCUGAGAAGACGGCUUCGACAGUGAGGGACGAAAGCUCGGGUCUCAAACCGGAUUAGAAACCCUUGUAGUCC
rnacentral:rRNA from 1 species